rnacentral:rRNA from 1 species
AGUGAACGCUGGCGGUAGGCCUAACACAUGCAAGUCGAACGGCAGCACAGUAAGAGCUUGCUCUUACGGGUGGCGAGUGGCGGACGGGUGAGGAAUACAUCGGAAUCUACUUUUUCGUGGAGGAUAACGUAGGGACACUUACGCUAAUACCGCAUACGACCUACGGGUGAAAGCAGGGGAUCUUCGGACCUUGCGCGAUUGAAUGAGCCGAUGUCGGAUUAGCUAGUUGGCGGGGUAAAGGCCCACCAAGGCGACGAUCCGUAGCUGGUCUGAGAGGAUGAUCAGCCACACUGGAACUGAGCCACGGUCCAGACUCCUACGGGAGGCAGCAGUGGGGAAUAUUAGGCAAUGGGCGCAAGCCUGAUCCAGCCAUCCCGCGUGUGUGAAGAAGGCCUUCGGGUCGUAAAGCCCUGUUUUGGGGAAAGAAAAGCAGUAGGUUAAUACCCCGCGGUUCUGACGGUACCCAAAGAAUAAGCACCGGCUAACUACGUG